UAAACAAUAAUUGUUUUCGUGGAAACACACAUUGUUACAAUCAGUUUACCAUAAUAUGGUAUAUACCAUACGUUGUAUUAUUUACAAAACAACACUAUCUACUGAAUUCCGCUCAGAAUCGUUUUUUCGUUAACAGUGGUUUAUCGUUGAUAUACAUUAAAUUGCCAUCUACAUCCUACCUUCUCAACUUCCAUCUACACCAAUGUCUGCACCCGUCCCCAUU